rnacentral:rRNA from 1 species
UGUAAUUUCGGGCGUGCAGUGGUGGGAAUACGUAGGAUGCGAGCGUUAUCCGGAUUUAGUGGGGUUAAAGGGUGCGUAGGUGGGCUUAUAAGUCAGUGGUGUAAUCGUAUCUCUUAACGAUAGACGUGCCAUUGCUACUGUAGGACUUGAGUACAGAUGCCGUUGGCGGAAUGUGUCAUGUAGCGGUGAAAUGCAUAGAUAUGACACAGAACACCGAUUGCGAAGGCAGCUGACGAAACUGUAACUGACGCUGAUGCACGAAAGCGUGGGGAUCAAACAGGAUUAGAUACCCUUGUAGUC